UACAGAGGUCCCAAGCGUUGUUCGGAAUCACUGGGCUUAAAGGGCGCGUAGGCGGGUUCCCAAGUCGGUGGUGAAAUCUUUCGGCCCAACCGGAAAACAGCCGCCGAUACUGGGAGUCUUGAGGGAGGUAGGGGUCGAUGGAACUUCCGGUGGAGCGGUGAAAUGCGUAGAUAUCGGAAGGAACGCCGGUGGCGAAAGCGAUCGACUGGACCUUUUCUGACGCUGAGGCGCGAAAGCCAGGGGAGCAAACGGG
rnacentral:rRNA from 1 species